UUGAAACAAUCUGAAGCAAAACAUCAUUCAUUUACUUGCUCACUGCUGAAAGCCCUAUGGCACAACUACAGUAGAACUACAGACUUCUCUUAACAAACACUUGAAUUUUCUACUUAGAAGAGCUAGAAUUCACUGUUGACAUUUACAGCUAUUUACUAUGUAAGUGUAACAGCAAGACGUAAUUUGGUACAUUUAAGCUGUUGUCUCUGAGGUGCUGUUUCAAUUCCACAUCAAAUUAGUGUUGAUAAAGAAUCUGCAGGCUUAGGUGAAAUGUGUUGAUGAGUUUGGCUUUUCUCAUAUGUUUGUAUCAGUGAUCAUAUUACCAGGCCUGACCACAGCAGCCUGUGUGCAUGCCCAGCUGUAGUGCACCAAGUGCUGGGCUCCUGGCUGAGUGGCAGCAAAGCCCAGGCCCCAGGGCAAGGCUCUUCCAAUCUCUAGCACUGGUGGAAUAAAGGAACGCUUCUGUCUCUGUUGUUGCCUAUUGAUCUGAGAGAAAGUUACAGAUCUCAUUUUGUCCUGUGAUACGUAUGUGCUGUGUUAUGGAAGAGGUUUAUGAAAGGAAGCCCAAACAAAAAUGUCUGCAGCUAUACGGCACUCUGUAAUGCUUCUUGUUUGAGUCUCGUGGUGCUUUAUUUGUUUAGGUUGUGGAUUCUGUCUUCCCUACUCACCCUUUGGAAGCAUUUUGAGUUUCAGAUUCACCACAACCUAAAUUGACACUCACUGUUGAGGGCAGUUGUAGCUCGGCCUCCCUACGCUAUGCAAAGCAGGGUGUUCACCACCUGGAGGUAUUUCUGGAUGGGCAGGACUAAAUUGCCAUUUGGAAUGAAAUUUCUAUUUUAUUUUUGAUUUUUUAUUACAAGAUUUCUGUGAUGCUUUUGCAUUUUUUGAAGUACUGAUUUGGAUUUCUUUCCUUAAAGGUUAAUUUUACUAAAAGUUUUGUCCAGGGCAAGAAACGUGGCUUUCUUCUAAUCUUGUGGCCGUGAUGGAUGAUGGAUGUACAUUUCAUGGGAUGCAAUUCAUAAAGGGAGGAAGAAUGACAAGUAGAAGUGAGCUGGCCAGCUGGAACACAGUGGGCAGUUGAGAGGACGCUGGUCCUGCAGUAGACUCUUGGCAAUGUUCCUCUCUGAAGGAACACUUUCAGUGUGCCAUACUGUUUUCCAGCACUUCUUUAGAGAAUUGUCUAAGCUGUCAUAGGCAUCAAAGGGAUAAGAGAAGAACAGGGGAGUGGGGCACGUGUCUGCAGUGUGUCUCCAAUGAAUGGCUGACAGUAGCAAACAGCCUUUCAGGGUCUGGCAGUGAGUGGACUGAUAGCAAGAGAAGCCACUGAGGAUGGACACACAUUCACUGAAGUAUGAAGAUAUGUUGGUGUGGAAGGAGAAUUUUUUCAGUACAGAGAGAUUUCUCUAUCAAAUUAUUCCCCCUCGUUGGACUGUGCAAGGAAAUGAAAUCAGGAGAAAAAGGGAACAGAUCAGCAUGAAGCCUAUGUAGAAGCACCUGUGUGCAACACAGCCUUUUCUCCGCCACAGCCUUCGCUAGGACCUCCUCCACGACUGCAGCAGAUAUUUCUUUUUGCCCAUAUUUGAAUCACUGAAACAUACAGAACUUAAGUCUCAAGACUGGGUGCUGCAGUUAAACAGGACAGAAAGUCACCUGUAUUACACCUUUGGCAGCAGAAACAGGUAAGGCACUGCACUUGUGACACAAAUGUACUUCCCACUGUUUUCCUGCUUUGUAAAUUGAACUGCUGAGAAAAUACCAGCGAAAGCAGUAAGAAAUCUUGAGAAACAGUGUUUUCGUUCAAGAUGUGAAAGGAAAUGCAAUACUGAUGGGAAAAAAAAUGCAGAAAGGUUACCUUACAUCCCAGGAGCUGCAGCAGUAAUAGUAAGUCACUGGGACAGAGAUAGAGAAAGAAGAUGCAAUGAUACGGGAGAAAGUGAAAGAAUGUUUAGCAUUGGAAAUGGGGUUUAUCAUGUACUAAACAAGUGCCUUUCUGAUUAAAUAGGAAAAGUUUCUUAAAAGCACCCCCAAGGAAGCUGAAGCCAUAGAAGAAGGUAAGAACUGGUGAGUUACUGUAUACAGGAGUGAUCCAAAACACUCGGUUCGUCUCUUUACGUCUUAAAAGCAUUGCAGGAGGCUUUUGGUAUGCAGCUACUACCAUCUAGCUAAAUUCUUUCAACUCUGAAUAUCAUCUAGAUGAAAAGUUAGCUUCUUUCUUGACAAAUGCAAUUGUAGAAGAGCAGACAGAGCCAUGCUAUUAAAAAUCACACAAAGUGUUGAUUGAAUGAAUGUUCAAGAAAUAGAGUAUUAAAAUGUUUUUUUCAUUUAUCCCUUUAUUUGGCAUUGCUUCAUUUAUCUCACUUCCUUUUUCCUGUAAGCUCAUUUGAAAAUCUCUUAAGCGUCAUUAAAAUAAGGUUGUCACAACUCUGCUCAGGUCCCAUACAGAUAUAAGCACUGCAGUUAGGAUUGAUGUUAAUGUUUGUUUAAAGAUAUCCUUGAAUAAACUGUUUUUUAUUUGAGCUGCUUUUUCUGUUGAUGAGAAGAGUUUUUGCAGUACAAAACAUGGAUCGAGAAAAUCUUUAUGGGUAAAAAUGAUGGAGGACAGGUGAAGGAAGCAAGCACAGUUAAGCAAGCCACUGACUAUUCUGUGUUGUCAGAGCUGGACACAUUACCAGGUAUCUAGAUUUUGAGCCUCUAUGCUGAGCUCCUAAAUAUUUGCAUGGAAAAGAAUAACUGUGAAUUUAGAAAAAUGAGAGACUAAUCAAUCAUCUAAUUGAUAAGUCUUUUUUUUGUUCAUUUCUGGAUGUUCCAUGUUCAUUGCAGGGGAGUUGGACUAGAUGGCCCUCAGAGGUCCCUUCCAACUCUAAGGAUUCUAUGAUUCUGUGAUGUCAACUUUGGAGAUGAACAACAAAAGUUGCUCUGAUAACUUUCCAUUCACCCUGGGGUGCACCAUAUGCUACAACUCCGAAAGCUGAGUUCUAGUCAGACUGGCAGACCCUUGAUCCAUGGACAAGAGUUUGUAAUAAGAUGGCAUAAAUUUUGUUUUUAAAAAAUCAGCUUGAACACAACUUGUGUUCACGUGUCUGUCAGUCUGCUAUUAAUCUAGAUCUGAACACCAUUUUCUUUGGUUUCUGAUUAAGCUUAUGAGAUUUUUUUCCGAAGGUUUACUAUGACUAAAAUAUUGCUUUGAGACCCAAAUGUAAGAGGAUUCAUUCAUUCAUCCCAUAUUUAUCCGAUUUAUCAAGGGAAAGUACAUACCAAUGCUGAAUCUAAUAGCUCUUGUCUAGGUGUAUUGGAACUUACUUUUUAGCAUGGCUUCAUAUUAAUUCCAUGUAAAUCUGUAUCAGGGCAAUUUUCUUAGCUAUAACAGCCUGAAUGGCUUUGAAAUCUAAAUAAGUCAGGAUUAUACAAACAUUCAGCAUAAUUUUACUGACAAAUAAGAGACUGAUUUCUCUCUUUGGCUCUUUUUUUCCCACCAAUCUGCCUAAGUGUCUGUCUCUUUCAGACUACAAAGCCUUUAAGGAAGGUCUGCCAAUUGCUGUUUUUAUGCAGUACCUGCUUAUGCUACCGUAAAUCUGAUAGUAGAAAAGCGUUGCCCUUUUUUGUGCAGCAUGCAUGGACACUUCUCUGUAAAUAAACUUUAAUAUCAUUCAGUUUAAACAGCCAGCCUGCCAAAUAAAUCCAGAAUGUCCAGUUAAAUAAUACAGCGAGAUAUUAUUAUCAAAGUGCACUGUCUUCUUGCAUAAAUGUAAGCAUCACUUUAACAACACAAUGAGAAUAUUUUUGCCAGUUUUUGUUGUUGUUUUUACAGGGUUAUUAUGUAACCUGGCAUCUAGAUAACAGCAUCUUAGGUACAGUGUUAUAUACAAUCCUGAGGUUGGAUGUAUAUAAUAAAUUAUUGCAUUUUAAACAUCUUUGAGACUUAUUCAACAGUUCAUAUGCAUCAGAAGUAAAAGAAACAAACAAAAAAAACCCCAUAACAAAACCAAAAAAGCCUGUUCUUCAGUAGAAGACUUCCAGAAGGCUCUCAGUUUGUAUUGCUUUACAUCUCGGAAGACUCUGCUAAUGCUUACAUUUUUUUAGUACAACCUAACCUAAGCCAACUUCUGAAUUCAGACUCUGGCGACAGCUCCUUUUGUAUUCCCUCUUGCAUGAGCACACACAGCACCAAAAUCCAAUCUACUGUGUCAAAUGUAUGCAUUUUGUAAAUAUGUGACUAGUUGAUAAAUGGAGUUGAAUCUUUUUUUUUUUAGGUUACUUCUAACAGUGGAGUGAAGUGCAUAGUUUAUUUUUAGCUCACAUGUUGCAUGCAGAUCACCCAUUUCUACAGUAUAAUGUGCAUACAAAGUUUGCUGAGGUGUCCAAACUAGAUUCACUGUGAGUACUUCACCAGAAAUAUGCAAUUAAAAUGUAAGUCAUUUCUAGGUAUCAUCAAUAUUCUGUCACAGUAUAAGGGGAAUGGACUAGAUGACCCAUGAAGUCUAUUCCUACCCUCAUGUCUAUUAUUAUUACCACAUAUUAGUAAAAUUACUUUUUGAGGUCACUUGUAUGUACUGAUUCCCUUUACACAAAUAUUUGGCAUUUACUAGUUGUUUGUGUCCAUUUCUUCAUGUUCUAUUUAUAAGGGAUUAAGUACAGGUGGAACAUCAAAUGUAGGAAAAACCUGAUGUUUUGUUGUAAAUAAUUCAUAAAACAAUGUUAUGACCCUUAUUCCCUGUGAGUCAUCCACAUAAUGAGCCACCCAAACGAAGCAGUGAAAACAUCCACUUCCCCUGCCACGGGUGUGCCCUGACGGGCUCCUCGGGGUCGGAAACCCAUCCAUCUCUUUUCACACACGAGCUAAUCAAUUCAAAGAGGGAAGUGCCAAUGAGCUAUUGGAUCAAUAUGGUGAAGUAUGGAGAUUGAUCUUAUCCCAGAGUGACCGCAUUAACAGACUCGUUAGUGUGACCUCUGCCCUCAGGCACGCAUUAUACAGGAUUGCAAGUCUGAUAUCAGAACGAAGACCUCAGGUCAUUGCUUUUAAUAAUCUGCUUUGCUGAAAGAAUUGAAAUUAAAUCUGCAAAGAGAUGACUAAUGAAAAUACAAAGUGCUUUCUUCUCCUCUCAUCUUGGAAUGCUUGCAAAAAUCAGGCCAGCUUUUUGCAGCUCCCACCACCAGUGGCAGCCUGGCACAGGACCUGCUAGGCUGCACCGGGCUAAAAUUUGCUGAGGGCAUGUUAGUACAACCAGAGGUGUUUUGCUUUCCUGCCACAAAGAAAUGAAUAAAAAGAAAUUGAGCACAAAACUCUAAAAAGUAACAGCUGUGUUAAAAUCAAUGAAAGCCUUCAGUGGAUUGCUCUCGCUGUUCUGUCUGCUCCAGAGUGAGGCUGUGUGCCCGAGGUAUUUCCCUGGUGCCUGCAGAAUUGCAGUGGCUGCUGCUGCUGCAGUGGAGUUGCUCACUCUGCUGAGCACAUUGCUGCCAGCAACGACAUGCACCAGCUUGAGCCCAGCCCAGGGAGGCACAGCACGCUGUCACUCAGGCCAAAGGCUGGUGACUUUGGUGUCAAUUACCUGAACAGCUAGCAUGGAGUAACUGCUCAGGAAUUGGCCCCACAGGCUGUGCCAUGGGACAUCUGGUGUGCUGAUCACAUCCUGACCCAGUAAAACUGGUAAGAUCCUUCUGCUGUGCAGAGCUCCUUGGAGGCGCAGGGAUUCUCAGUACGUGUGUACAGCCUGAGUCCCAUCCUGUCCCUUUGUUGACCUGUGCCAGUAAGUGUCACUAACUUUACAGGAUGUCUGUACAUUAAGUACUGCAAGGAACGCCAUAAGCAACCAUUUCAGGCUGGCUUGUUUUAAAGACUAAUCUUUCUGACAUAUAGUUUCAGAGAUGCUGAACAAAACUGCACUUUGUUGCCUCAGAACAUGAUAUUCAUAUUGUUAAUACUUUUAAAACCCUUAAAAUUUUCUUUGCAAUGAAAUAUUUAUGUAUAAACCACAUUUUAAUACUGUAUUUUUAUUAUACCAAACAUUUUUAUUGUUCAGUGUAUAAUUGAGUCAAUGAAUUAGAAGAUGACUAAAAAGGGAUUAAUGCAUUUUUAAUGAAACUGAAUGAUAUAACUUCUGUUGUUCACUAAGAAUAAUGGCAAAUCUAUCAGGUUUGUAUAGAUAAGAGCUUUGUGAGUUUAUCUGAAAGCCCACAUAAUGCCUCUCCUGUAACUGUAACUUAGAAAAAGAGACUUAACAAUCCUAUUCAGGCUUCUAAUUCAUUGUUUAGUUACAUCAUCUCUUUUCCACCUUGUGAUCAGAUCACCUGUCUAAUCAUGAAAAUAUGAAGCUCUUCAGCAAAAUACAUCUAUAUCCAAUUGUAUAACACUUUUUGAGACAAUACUCUUUCGAAGUCUAAAUGGAAGGACCGAGAUAGCCAUACAAUACCCAUGGGAAAUGUGUCUGAACUCAUAGGUUAAUAGACAGGGGCACUGGUGAGAACUUUCUGCACUAAUAGUGAGAAUGCAGAUGUUUCACUCUUUGCACGGCUUGUGUCCUUAAUUAGCUCACUAGUCAAAAUCAGAAAUCUUUCCAGGUAGCAAAUGCUGUACUUAAAAAUAUCUCAAUAGAAAAUCCAUGUAUUAGUAUAAUACCAUGAUUGAAAUUCUAACAUUGCACAAAAUAUUACACUGGAAGUUAAAACAGCAGUAGCAAAUUGAGUUCUGAUUCCAAUAUAUAUAUAUUGUGUUCUUUGCAAUACGGUGUUUCAUUUUCUGUUCUUUUGCAAUGGGUAUAAAAACAGAUAAUGAACAUUUACAUUGGUACAAUACAUAUAUAUUGUGAAUGAGGAACUUUAUAAUGACUCUCUUAGGAAUAGUUUUGCAUUGUUCCAUGGGAGGCAUGUAAUUAAAUUUGUUUGAAGAGGAUUCUGCAAUUUCUUGUAUCUUUAAGUACAAAGUGAGACAGGAUGCGUGCAUGUCAUGUACAUUCAUGUUGUAUACCAGAUGCUGUAGCACUGCUCAAAAACUUCGUGAUGUGUAAAACCACAUAAUUCAGUGGCAAACCACAAUUAAAUGGGUAACACCAGAAAAAUUAGUGUACCAUUUUAUUUUCCACCACUGCAACGGGAUUUUUACAUCAUACUCUUUCCAAACAAAGGAGCUAUUGUAGAAAUGUUUUAGACUUAAAAUGUUUUUAGAAUUCUGCUACUAUAUAUGUAUCCUUUCACUUGUGAAGCAGAGAACUUUGUACACAUCCUAUGGUUCUAGCCUCAGGAGGAGAUUGAUUCCAGAAAGCACUUUCCAAUUUUACUGAAGCAUUUGUUCUGUACUUGCUGACGAGAAGUGGAAGCUCAUGUAUUUUCACUAAAAUGGAGGUGAUUCUUCUGAACAGGAGCAAGGGAAAGUAAACGUAUAGCAUAUGUGGAACUGAAAUACCUUUUCUGUAAAUAAUAUCCUUAUAAAUUGAGUGCCACACAUCCGCUAAUUGCAAAAAUUGUAAAAGUAAAAGUUGCCUUCUAGUGAAAAGGUGGUUUGUUUCCCCUUAAGAUAAACCACGCCAUUUACAGUCCUGUCAUCUUUAUUGGACAAUUAGGUCUUUAACUUACUACCAGUAAAAAAUGACCAGUUUUCACUAUGAGUUUCACAAAUGUUUCAUGAAUUUUUUAUUUUGGGCAUAAAAUGCAAAGUUUCUGGAGUAAGAAGUUGCUUCUCUUCUUUAAUGGCAACUGCAUGAAAACUGGUCAGGAAUAUAAGGAACCAAGAAAACAUUAAAUAAUAGAGCUCAGAUGAAGACAUUAAGUUGAUAAUAAAUAUAAUUUAUCCUAUAAAUCUGCAAUUUACGUUAUAGGUCUCCAGAUCAUACUGUGGUGUUACUGCCACAUGAGAUAUCAACAGAUGCACCUGUCUGGUGUCAGCAUCUAUGGCUGCAGAAGGGAUAUCCGUUAGUGGUAUCUGUUUAGGUGCCUGUUACUUAUCUGCCUACAAGUAAGUGAUACAUAUUAUUUUCUAAUCAAUGAAACCUCUCAUUUUAGCUGCUGUGUAACAGAGGAAUGGCCAGAUGCAUUUUUUAAAACACCCUCAUUCAGAUUUCUACUGUGAGCAGCUUACAGACUGAUAACAUUCAUGAAAACUUUAACAAUAAAAAGUUGAUCUACUGGGUAAGUUAGAUUGGAAAUACAUAACUAGAAUGGAAAUGCUUCCUUUGCCUCCACAGAAUAAAUAAUAAAUGCUUUCCAGGUAAUGACUACAGCUCCUUUGAUAACAUAUAUAUUAAUAAACUAAAAACAUCUAUAGAUUGACAAGUGUUUUGUGGGCUUAUACUGAAAAGCCAACAGCUAAUUAUGAAAGCCUGACUUGACUAAUCAAUUAUUCAGAUAAACAUUAGGUGCCUAUUAUAUGCAUAAACGUGGGAAUUAUAUUUCCCAUAAGUAACUUUCCAAAAUAACAAACCCCAAACAUGCAAAUUUGAAAUAGAGAGAAACAGCACUAUUAUGCACUUACUGCACGUGCAGACCUCCCACUGAAUUAUUCAGGAAACACUGAACUGGGAGCCGCAGUCUUCUGACUCUGAGCAGCACAGCAAUAGCAGCUCAAGCCAUGUUGUAUUUGUUAUGCAUGUAGUAUUGAUUUAGCUCAUUCUUGCUGGUCAUGUUUCAAAUUCAUUUCAUGUUUAGGAGAUGGAGGAAAGGGGAAGCACCCCUGCUAUUUGCAAUAUAUUUUUAUGCCUGUUGAACACAAGAUUAUCUGAUAAAUUAAUAAGACCAUGGCUUCCGAGUGCAGAAAGAAUAAACCUUUGAAAAGGAGCACAAGUAAGGUAAUGAAGUAUGUUUAGAAAAGGUUUAUAUUUGCCUGAUUCCCCACCUCCUGCAUGUGAAGACUAGGAGAGUGCUAGCGUUGUAGAACAGAUUCACUACCCUUCCAAUUAAUUGUAAAGCUCUGAACACAAUAAGGCAAUGCCUGAUUGUUCUCUGCAUUUAGAAAAGACCGCACUCUUCAACAUAAUGCAGCAACAGGGAUACCAGAAAUAGAUGUGACCAGACACCUGAUGACAAACAGUGACAAAUCCCACUGACACUGCAGUGACCCCUGGUUAGUCAAGAUUUAAUUAAGGGGUAUAAUUAAGUCAGUGGAAUGGAACACUAAUGAGUGUUGAUUUUUUUUUUUUUUUAAUAUGGGUAAUUACACAUAAGAAUACGAAGUAAGCUAGGCCCCUUAGUAUGUCAUUAAAGUAAAGAGUAUAGAAUGACAAUCAGAGGUGUAAAUAUGCCUCUGGUGAUUUUUCCUCCUUUGCUGGAAUAACACUGGUAGAAACAACACAGCUCCAGUCAAGCAUCUGUACACAUGCUAGCAGAUGCUACUGGCCCAAUCCUGCAUGUGUCCAGCGUGUCAUUAAUGUGACCUUUGUGGCCCAGCGCACACUAGUAAAGUUAAACAUGCAUGGUUCUGUCUGCCCCUGUGUUUGUACUUGUUUGUACCACGCAGGGGGCAUGCCAGCUCAUUUUCUAACAAGGGACAUUCUGUUGCUCUUCUCUUUCAAUUAACAUCCUCUAGAUUUAAUUUAUUGAGUCUCUUUAUUAUAGCAAGCAAUUGAUUACAAGGAAGACAUACACUACAGGCCAUCCCUGUGACUGCCUGCAGGGUGGGUGCAGUUCACCUUUACAGUCAAACAGCACAUUUCCCACAGCAGUGGUAUUUUAUGCCUGAUCUCUGGUUCUCUGGAAUUUAUUUCUAGGCAGUUGAGUGAGAUAGCUGAAAUAUCUUUAUUGAUGUGAUAUUUGCUUAGAUUUCAAUCAAGACAAUAUUGUAAAGGAGAUUAACUUAAAUGAAAUGCUAAACGGGUGGAAAACAUCAACAUGAAUGAUGAUGACAAUGGUAGGAAAAAAACAGUUUUCCUAUGAUCUCUAAGAUUUAAAGGAAUGCCAGGGCCAGCCUCUGCUGGGAUUACUCUAUCUGCUCCCAGCUGGUAGCCAGCAGUUCAUGACAGCCUUUUAUCCGUUAUCAAAGCAACAAGUGGAAAAGCAGAUCCUCCUGACUGCUAACAUUCUGUUCAGUUCUCUCUGUAGAAUUUCUAAGUCUUUCCUUUUAACAACUCCUCAGAUUUCCUUCCUACUGCUGCAGUAGACACUAAAUAUGUCUCUCAAGUCUCUAACUCACUUGUCUAACUUAGACUCUGCAGGGCACUAAUGGAAGAGGGAAUAAUUGCAUUACAACAGGACACAUUCUACAGGGACUGACUGAAGUGCAGCACAGUCCCGAUCCUGCUCACACUAAGGUGCUGAGCGUUUAGCAGCUGGGUUCAAUGACGGAAAAACAGAUCCUAAUUACUCAAAUGAUGCACUUGCGGAUGCAGCACUUCGAUGACAAUUUCAGACUGAGACAUGAGGUAGGAUUAACUAUCCCAAUUUUUAUAAGUAGAAAUUUCACUAUAUUGACAGCAAAGCACACUAUAUUGAAAAUAUUUCACGUAUAUUCUGUGCUUGCUUCCCUUUUCUACACUUAUAGGGAAAAAAAGAAUGUAAAAUUUGGAGCUAUUAAAAUAUAAUUCAGGCUGAAUUCUUUCAAACAAAAUCUAUCCACUGAAACAGAACGGUUAUUUGUUAUUAAAAGAAGUCUAAGUGAAUAUAUAGUAAGAAUAUACAUCCCAAAUUUCAUAAAUCAUUCUGUCACUGAGUAGUGGGUCUUAGAAACACAAUACUAUAACAGUUACUACAAGUAUAUGUAAAAAAAUCAAAAGAACAAUUUGACUAACAAGCUGCUAAGUAGGGUACAUUAAACCACAAAGUAUGCUAUGAGUUUUGAAUUAUUUUCUAAACUGUUUUUUAACCAGAUUUUUUGUGGCAUUUAGUGGGUAUGCUGGGACAGAGGAUGCUGUGGGAACACCACUGGGUAGGAUAUACAUCAACACCUUUCCUCUAUGCACAGAAGCCUCUGCCACAUUGCCUGAACCCCUGCUUGUUUUGGCCAGUCUCAGAUUAUUGGCAAUGAAAUGGCAUGAGCUGGCUAUGGGUCUUCAGAAUCUUGGUUGAGAAGCAGCAGGUAAUGUCACAUCUUUAAGAGGUGCCUGUUGUCACCGCUCUGGAGAGGGCGCUGAUAAAAGGCAUGGGAUCACUGCUCUCGCUCUUUCCUGUAAGCUCAAGCGUGUGAAAACCCUUGUGAAAACGAAAUACAAUAAAAGAAGAGGGCUUGUAAAAACAUCACGUAAAUGAUUUGCCUGCUUUUAUCUCUACGCAGGCAUGUGUCAGUGUAAAAGAGUGGAUUAGGCAGGCUCGCUUCCUUCUGGGCUGUAGACACACGUAUGCAUAAUUGAUUCCUGACAUCUUCUUCUCCCCCAUGCUGUCCCCACGAGGCCACCCCUGUCCAGCUAUGUAUGAAUGAACAGAAGUGUCUUUCAUCCCCCACUUGCUUCCCGGUUCAAAAGGAACUACAAAAAUAGCAGCAACAAAAAUCCAGCAGCCUGCCAGAAGGCCUGCACACGUCCCAUUCUUAAAGGCAUGUGAAAGGUUGGAGAGCUCAGCAAAAUUUUUAUGUACGGGAGCAGGCCCAAGGAAAACUCACACGCCAUAACCAAUUGUGGACAGAGGAUCAUCUAUCAGCAGACAAAUGCAGGAACUCCAGAAUGUCUCUCCUCAAAUGAAAUAAUAUAUCUUUGAAAGCCAAUGCCCGUUUUAGGCCUGAGGCCCAUAUAUCAAGCCUGAGAGGCUUGUGGAUACGCUCCAGGGCCAUUAACCUUCCACCUGUUUCCCCUUGUCCUUCAGGAUGAGACCCUGCCCUUGAUUUUACUCCCUUCCCCUGUUCAUCUUCCGACAGAGUGUAAAUGUAAAGCAGAGGGCCUGUGAAAUAAUUCAAAGGCAAUGGACCAGGGACAUGGUUACAAAUCUCUGCCACUGGCACUGUGACUUAUGCAGGCAGUUUGUCACACAUGAGCCAGGUGACCUCUGUGACAUAACAGAGAAAAAUAUCGCCCGAGAUCAAAAGAUGAGAUUCAGAGCGCUCUAACUAACUCUGGUGCGGGCAGCAGCGGCCCAGGCUCGCCUCCCUUCCUGGCAUAGCCAGAGGGUGGGCUGUGCUCCUGCUAAUUGAAGCCGCCUCGUUUGCUCACCUUUCUGCCCCUCUAACCAUCCCCGUAACACCGCCAUCAGGACUGGCUUCCUCUUAAAGCCGCUGCUUUCCGAAAUGGCUCAUAGCUGUGAAUUGACAGCAGACGGCAGAAUGUUGAUCAGCAGAUCAAAAUGAACACGUACCAAUCAGAAACAUCAAAAUGGCCGAAGAGUCACUUUUGCAAAUGAGUCUGUUUUAAGCCAGUAAUUUUUUGAAUGCUAAGUGACAAUGAAGCCUUGCAUAAACAUGUCCUGCCCUGGUAUUGCAGUGAGAAGCCUUCAAAGCCUAAAACAUUUACUGGGAUUCAAUUGUCAUGACAAUUACAAUGAAAGCAGAGUUAGUAUCAAAAAUGAUGUAAUGCAACCAGAUAACGCAGCAUCUGUAUUGAUUCAUGUUUUACAAAGAGACAUACUGCGGAAUCAGAGUGUCAGUCUUUUGGAAUAAAGUCUAAUCAGAUGGAUUUUUUUAGAAAAAUCUUGAAGUCAUUUUUCAAGCAGUGUAGUGUAUAGGAAGUUUCCCAGCUGUUUUCUACAUUCAGGACAUCUCUGCUGGGUGCAGACAAAAGAAGUCUAGUGCGGCGUUUCUCUUCCACUCCCCGUAACCUAACGAACCUAACGCUAUGUCUGGUAUGGACAUUUAAUUUUGCCUAUUUCAUAAAAUAAAAAAAAAACACAAUACAACUGUUGCAGUAUCCCAAGCACGAUAAUGAAAUGAGAAAUAGAACUGUAGAUAGAUCAGCCUAAACCCCAUCCUAAUCCUAAAUCAUUUUGGCACUUGCCACCACCUAGUUGAUGAAAAACUCAGUUUAAUCCUUGAAUAUAUAUAAAAAUGCACAGGAACAUGCACAGCAUUUAGUGUGCUACUUACACAUGUGCUACGCAUUAUCUGACUGGCUAAUUUCAUUCAGUCUUAUCAUACGCUGACUAUGAACAUUUUGUAUAGAGUUCAAUCUCUCAUGCAAAAUGAUCUGAACGGAUAGUGUUCCACCAUUAAAGUAUUUCUCAAUUCACUCAAUCUAAAAUCAUGAAAAAUUUGAACUGUGGUUGGGACUUAAGGCCAAGUCAUUGCAGUAGUUAAAAAGAAAAGUACAUCUGAAAAUCAUUUCAUUGACAAAAGCCUGACAUAGAUCAUUAAACUACUCUGUUGCAGUACACUGCGGCAGUAAAUACAGUAAACAGAAGUUAUUGUUAAAGGAAGAUUACUGUGAAGUGUUACUACAUGCUUUUGUAAAAGUAAGGCAGUUGCUUGAUUUUACAGUGCUAAAAUGUUUUGCUCUUCAGUCCUAUGAUUACACACACCUUUUCCUUUGUUAUAUAUCUCUAAAAGAAGCCUGGCAGAGAUACAGUAGUCAGCAUCUAUAUCCAAGUUCUGCCACUGAUUUCAGUGAACUCCAAUUUAGAUCCCAGAUGUCUUCAUUUUUGAAAAUACCUGGAGCAUUGCUUUUUGAUGUAAAAUAUAGGUGAUAUAUCCAAGGGUUCUGGAACUCAGAUCUUUAGCUCUCAUUGAGACUCCUACUGAAUAUAUUCAUUUGUAUUUAGACCUGAUUUCAUUUAUGCUUUCUGCAUCCAGUUUUUGCUUUUUUCUGAUAUAUUUGAUGUAUCCCUGUAAAAUUAAUAUUUAAUUUAAAGAGCACCUAGCCUAAUCCAUUGUCUUUGACAGUAAGUAUGAUCUAGUGCAUCUUUUUUUGUAAUAUUCAUGAAAUUUGGAAAUCAAGGCUAAGCAUCAUAUGUUACUCUGAUAGAGGAUUUUUUUCAUUGAAAAGUUUCAUCAGUUCUGAAUGACCAAAUGGCCUGCUAGAAUUUCUAGGGCAUAAAGAAACUACUUGCAAAUGUUACUAUGUGUAUAAAAUAUUAUGUUAAUGUAAUAAAUCAUAACCUUUAUAAAUAAACACUCUCAGACACACACACAACAUCCAGUUUACCCAGUGCAGUGUGCUUUUAAUGUACCUACAUAAUGAACAUCAAGCACUUUCUAAGACUAGAAGGUUACAGCACCUUUAUUCUGAAGAAGUUCUUGUUUUUUGUAUAUAAUUUCUUUUGCCCCAGUGAAAAAGCCUUAAAUUGUUUGGUUGACAUACUAUGCGGAUGCUCCAAGUCCAACUAAUUGUAUUUUUUGAGUCCUUAGGCCUCCCUGAAUCACUCUUAUAAAACAAAAGAAAACAAGAAACUAUUUCACAUUUUAAAGUAAUAAUAGUAAUUGGUGGCAUGAAUCAUUCCUUACAUUCUUUUCCAGCUACAAACAAUUUCUGUUUGGACAAGUGCCAUAUAGUAUCGACAGUGACAACAAAUCGUAUUGUCCGCUGAACAUCUGUUUCCGACUCCCACACUGAUAUUGCAGGUUGGCUACUUCUGAGUUAGUCCUCACAGGCUGCCCAACCUCAGAGGAACUGGAAAUUACUGGUACGUUCAACUUUUAUUAUUGGAACACAGGAAAACUUUAUCAUCAUGCUGGGAAGUCCUGUAUCUUUUGAAAUAUUAUAAAGAGGGUUAUGUUAGCACAGAAAGCCACAUGUAACAGUUUUUACGGAGGAGAGAAGUGGCUCCUGUGUUCAUUGUGUCCCUCAGAACAUGCAGAUAUGCAGGUCUGAGACCAAAAUGUCGGACAUUUAUUUUUAAUAACACAAGCAGCAGGGGAAAAAUAAAUUAAAAAAAAGGACCAGAUUCUGUCAGUCUUCCUCAAUUAUGUAGUAUUGUGUCCCAUAUAAAGUAUCUCUGAAGGCCAAAGCACAGUUACUAAGGGCAGAGCAGACUGGGGCUUAGUUUGGGUUGCACAAUCCAGCCCUGGGGAAUGGUGGUCUCAAAGAAAGAACGGAUCUGUUCUGAUUUAUGUUUGUUGCACCAACAAUGAAAGCAUCCUAUAGAGAAAGACUGUGUUAGCUAGCUAGAACUAUAACUGUUAAACAAACACAGGCCUAAGCAAUGUUUUCAACACUGAGAGGAGUUUGUUAGAAUGAUCAUUGUCAUUUUCUUCUUAGUUAUGCCACCAUUUAUUAUUAGGUCUGGAGUAAAAGGUAAAGUUCUGUUUGGCUGGGACAGAGAAAAAAUGAAGUUAUAUUCUGUAUGGGCAGUAUGUGCCAGUUUGAUAAUGCCCAAGCACCUGAUCAGUAAAUACACAAGCUGGUGUUGGGAUAAGCUGCUGAAAGCUAUUCUCUUCGACUGAAAAAGAGGGAGAGAGAAACUCUGCUGAAACUGAUAUUAAUUAGAGUGGCCAGCAUGCAAAGGAAUCAAAGGCAAAACAUGCGGAGCUCCCACUAAAGUCAAGAGGAAAAGAGUACACCUUAAAGGAGAGGCAUGCGAAUGAAAGGCAAAUGCUGUUCAAUGUUGGCAAAUGAGCUAGCAUGUAAACACUGCCUCUGAGGCAUGGCACUUCCCGCUGCAAAUGCUCCCAAUGAAAGUUCAGUCUUAGGAGGGAGCGUUGUCCUACGCUUGCAGAAUAAGUACCUAUCUCAGCAAGGACAGAUCAAAGUAAAAUAAUUGUCACAUGCAUAUUUCUAUGAAAGAGUUAUUAUUCUUAUUGCUGUUUAAAACACUGUGUUUUAAAAAAGGACCCUUGUUUUCUGAAUACUACAUCACAAAGAUUGCUUUCUGAUACUUCUCCUUUUAGCAGUUUUGGAUUUCUCAAGGCACAGUAAGUCUGGGCAGAAACUUAGUAAAGGGGCCAGUAUUCAAAACACUGUUGAGAGAUUUAGAAUCUCAGUCUCAAAGGCAGAAAAUUGUCUAAUCUUAUUUUUCACGUAUGAUAUCAGUGCGUAUGUACCUCUCAAAACAAUAGUCCAGUAGUAUUUGUGAGUAGCUGUCUUUCUGUCUCGUUUUUUCCAUAUAAAGGCAGGAAGAACAUCAGUGACUGCACGCUGAUUACAGAAGAAGCUGAAACUAUUGUAUACCUGGUGACCUGGGCAUGAGCUGCAGCAUUUGUUUUGGCUUCCACUUGCACACCAGAUAAUUGGUUUUGGUGAUUUUCACUGAGCUACAGGAGUAGGAAGAUGGAGUGGAGACUGCAGGCCUGCAUGACCACCCACUCUGGGCCUUCUCCUCAAGGAUUUCCAUCUUUUCCUGAAAGGCUGUGCAAGGAGUUGAAGAGAGUGUUGGUGAAGCACGCUGAGUGUUGGUGAACUGCUGCACCCUCUGUAGGUCCAUGCAGCCCAUGGCCACAAAUAGCCCCAGUUACUGCUGCCCACGUACUGACUGUGCUGCUAACGUAAUUCCCAGCAAGGAGAAAGGAAAAGAAGAGCCAAUAAAUAACAAAAAGGGGAUUUAGGAACAACACAUAGCAAAUGAAACUUAAACACUUGAGCCAGGCAGCUCUACGGAAGAAAACAGGAAACGGGCAGAUGCUGUGUGAGAAACUGGAAAUGCGCUACUCAAGAUCUUAACUUGCACUUCUUACUUGGACACUGCAGUUCUCAUCAGCCUCACUGAAGUGUUCUUCCAAUAAGCAAACAAAACCAGACCCAUAAGCACAACCUGGCUUAACACUGAACAUCACCAUAUGCAAGACUGACUUCUUCAGCUCUCUGUUUAGCAGCAGCUGUAGGUACAUGUUUAUUUCCUCGUACAGGGAAUUCUUGCCACUGCACGGAGAGGUUCCCAGCGCUCUGUUGCUCCUACAGACAUUUCCCCCAAAACUUUUAAGAGGGAUGAGAUGGAAUAGUGGAUGACCAGACAGACACCCCUGGUGCCCCUCCAAGGGGCUGCAGUGAGUUGGUUCAGGCACCAACCAUGACUCAGCACCACUGGCCAUUGCUCAUUGCUCAGGAUGAAUUGCUCAGGAUGAGUGCAGUAAGUGUUCCCCAGUAAAUACCGAAUGGUUUCCAGAUGGAACAACCAGAGGGUGCUGACUGUAACACCGGAGUAAGGACACAACUCUUCGUCACAUCCAGUGUCACUUAGUCGGGACGAUGUUUCCUGUAUUCAGCAAACAUGCCGGUAAAAGAAUUUCCUUGGCAUGGAGACAACUUGGAAAUGUCCUUUUAAAAAUCAGUUAAUACCAACAGAACUCAUGAGCUAGCUGGAACCACUUCCUAUGCUAUGGAAAGAACACUUGAAUAAGGCUAACCAAGACAUUUCACCCUCCCCACCUCCCCCCUCCCCAUCUAUUUCUGGAUGUCUUCUUUUGUUCACCCUUUGCUAAUUAUAGAGGCCUUGCUUAGGUUAUAUUUAUAGCCUUAAAAGAGUUGCCUGACUUUUAGAACACUUUAUUCAUGUAUAUUUCCUGUGUUUAUUGUUGCCUUCACUAAUUUUUUAAAUUAAAUUUACUUGAUCCAAGAUUUUAUUUAGCAACAAAUAUCAAAGUAACUUCUCUUUCAACAAAUGAAGCGCUGUAUUUAGAUGCAAAAAAAGCAUUUUUCUAUUUCUGAAUUUCUGAAAAAACGAUUUUAGUUUCUUUCCAUUUCCAAGUGAUGAGUACGAUGGGCAAUUCCAGAACUGGACAAAAUGCAUUUUCUUUUUUUGCUUUUUUUUUUUUUUUUUCGCCUAGUUUGUACCUAUAAAUGUAUAUAUAUACAUAAAUGUAUAUAUGUGUAUACACCUAUAUCUCUAUAUAUCUGUAUCUAUAGAUAUAGAUACAUAAGCAUAUAUAAAACUACAACAGUCGCUUUAAUGCUUGAGGUGUUCCCAUAACAGUGUUGUUUAUCAGCCCAGCCUGCACCUGCAGCCCCGAGCUACCAGCUACAGAAGUGGAAAAAAGCUACUGAAGGUGUCCCACGAAAUCGUAGCUUCAUUUUCCUACUGGAGCCGUUUUUGCUCUCGAGUUCUCCUUCUUCCACCCGCCCUUCCAUUUGUUCUGGAGUUGCUCUGCAGACAUGCCUGCAGCAUUGCUGCAUGUACCAGCAACUUUUAUUUGCUGCUCAAUCCUGCAAAUAAAGACCGCGGCGCCCUGCAGCCGGCCAGGGCGAGCAGCGGCUGCCCGCCCCGCACGUGGCGAGCGGCUCGCUCCCCGCUGCCCGUCCUGGCGGGAGCAGCGCGGCCUGCAGCCUGAGGCGCGUGCGAAGUGAGCGGUCUGCAGCCUGCAGUCCGCGGAGCGCGGGAAGAGCGCGCGGCUUGCAACCUGCAGCCUGAGGCGCGCGGGAAGAAAUGAACGGCUUGAGGCGUUCCGGGGUAACCGCUGUGUGUAAACGCUUAUGCUUCGCGUCGCUUCUAGAAUGCGGGUAAGAUAGCACUUAAGCACGAUGUGUCGUGAUUUAGCGAGCGUUAGCUGACUAAAGCUGCCGUCUGUCAGCGUGCCGAAAUAGUUGGCAGCCCGGUGAAGAUGGCGGUACUCUCUUUCAGCUCGCUUUUAACCGGCGCUUCCAUCGGCGGCGUCACCUCAGCGCACGGCUGUGCUGCACGUGUUCGGUGCGGCGCCCGCGGGUUGCGUGCUUUGUCACGAGGGUCAGAGCAGAGCUUCGCUGCUCGGCGGUUGUCCCCCGAAACGCCCUUCUUGGUAUUUAAUGGAUUGAUGGAAUGCUGCGAUGUAUUGGGCGCUUUCCUCUUGCACCAAAACUUGCUCUUUGUUGAGGCUUUUUUUUUUUUUUGCACCUUUGCCUACAGGUGGGGGGAAAGUAAGCGACUGAAUCUUGUUUGCAGAGCGCGGAAUUGGUCUUUGUUUCCAUUUAUAUGUAGCCUGGCACAGAUUCGGAUGCUUUUAACCUGAGGCACUGAAAUGGAGUAAGCUGUGACUGCUUGGUCGGUGACCGAAACAAAGCGGUGCAUGGCUGUACUUGUACGGAGAUAAAAGACUGAUUAGCGGGGGCUGGGCAAAGCCUGGGAGCUGAGAAGCAGUGCGCUGGGAGGUGUGAGUGCUGUCUGCUGCUUGCUGUCACUGCUUCCAUCUGAAGCUUUGCUUUGUAAGAAUUUUUAAAUCAGAAAUGGAAAAGACUGAAGUCCUCUGCUGUGUUCCCGGGCCUAUAAAGCUGCAGAAUGCAUUUAAUGCUCUGAAUUGGGUUUUUUUUUCAGAUGCUGUGCUUGUACGUGGCUGCCAUGAGGCCAUACCUGUUGUUUCAUUAAGCUGUGGUUAUUUAGAUCUCUUAGUUUUUCCUUCGUAAAUCAUACUUUCCUCUGCUUUUUCUCAGCAUUUUCCAGCCCUAGAGCGGGGUGCAUUAGGUGUGCCUUAGUAUGAAACCUGUUGGCUCCACAGUGCUGUAUGAGCAAAAGUGACCAUCACUGAUCUGAUAUAGCUUAUCUCUAUACAUGGAACUAUAAAUUAUAGUGAAUUUAUAUUAUAGAGCUUUGGCAGAGUUGGUAGGUGUUGGAGGCAGUGCAACAGUAGGAAGUCUGAGUGACUUCAUUAUUGCUAACAGGAGAAUAUCCUUAUAUCUAAACAGCCCAGAUAUAAUUAUAGAGGCAGACUUUCACUGUGCUUAGGAACUAUCUCAUAUGAACAGAAAUCGGUGCUGUACAAAAGCACUGUAUUAGAAUGAUAUGAGUGUCAUACAAAGGCACUGGACCUGAAUGAGACAAUUUCCACAGAGCUAGGAGCCAUGAUCUUCCUACGUAAGACUUCUAAGUGUCUGCUUCUAAGAAAUGCAGUAAUUUAUAAGGGGAGGGGAGGGCUGUUUUUUGUGGCAGGAACUUCCAAGUUCGGCAAACCAUCAUCAUAUGCAAGUUCUGAACAGCAGUGUUGGUAGUUCUUUUUUUUUCAUACUGCCCUAUAAGAGUGCGUUUUGCACCUGGAUGAUCUGGAUAAUCUGGCACUGCUGUCAGCUGUCCUGUGCUUCUAAUCGUGAUCCUGCUCUUCUGAGGGAAAAAACUGAACUCUGAUGUUAAACUUCCACUUUGUAUAACACAAAUGGCACCAAGUUGCAGAUGGAUAUGCAUGUGCAGCUCAUCCUUCCUGCCAAGGCUGCAGUGGGAGAUUCAAGCUAUCAAGCAGGAGUGGCUGCAGCUGCAGACCUCCCUGUAUCCGUACUACAGCCUGCAUCUAUGCUUGCUAUAAGGAUUAGGAUGCUCAGUUUUUUCUGUCUAGUAAUAAGUGGCAAAAUAUUGCAUAGUGGCUGUUUGUGGGAAUGGAAGAAAGCUUGCUGCAGUGAACUGCAGUGGGAAAAUACACUUGCUUGCUAGAAGUGACAGGCUUUCAAAAUGCACCCCCAUGAAGCACAGUAGCUUUGUCUCAGCUUGCUGCUGAACAUCCGCCAUUGGGUGGGAAAGUGACUGACUGCAGAGUGCUGAGUUCAGCCUCCUGCUAUCAGAGGUGACAGCAGCAUAUGGCAAAGUAGACUGCUUUGGCAUGAAUGAGCAUAGGAGAAUGCUGUCAUCUUUUUACCCUUAGAAAAGGCACCAGAGGCUUGGAAAUGAACAAGCAGUUUAGGAGGGCUAUCAAACAACACUCCUGCAUGCUGGAAUACUGCGUUUAGUCGCAGGCUUUGUUCAGAAGUCAAGAAGAUCAUCACAUGGACUUCUAACAGAGUGCUUCCUAUACAAGUUUCAGUGGGGUGGCAGGUAUAAUUCCAUGCUUCAUUAAGCCUGGGUUUUCUGGUGAGGCUUCUUUACACUGCAGUCAUUUCACUAUUUCUUUCCAUGUGAUCUCAGAAAAAGAACUAUUUCUUACUAUGAAACACACUUAGUUUAAUCAAAUUAAUGUUUCUAAUGCAAAUAACUUGUUGGGUCAGUAAGAUGCAUACUUUCCCACUUCCCCCAACAUUUAGAAAGUUUGAGAAAUGGUGACUUUUUUCAGAUCCCAGUAUGCUUAAACCAGCCCAAAAAUCAAUAGCUGCGUAUGACACCACGCUCUGUAGUCAGACUGCUGAUACUAAGGGAAAUCCUCAGCCUCGGUUUCUCACUGCUUCCCUGACUGAAAGACUCCUAUGGCAGUUUUAUUUCAUCAGCUAUGUUAGUUACAUUUCCUGCCCUGAUAAAUGGAUGCUACAAAGUCCAAAAGCACUUCAAGUUAUCAAAUUGCCUUUGAUUACUUAGGUCUAAAUAAUAUUUCAACCUUUUAUCACUCUGAAGAAAAAACUUUUAAGGUAUUCCACUACUGAUAUUUUUUUUCUGAAGAAUAAAACUUCCCUCAUCUCUAUGUAUUUGGUUUAAUAAUUCACUUUCUGUACCUUAACUCAUUAUUUUUCUGUGCACUUCUUGAUAUUUAAUUUCACGGAGAUUGAAGUUUAAAAUUAACCAUGAUGUAUUGAAUAUUAUUAUUACUAUAUUUAUCUAAAUGUGUUUGAUGUGACAAGUAAGAGGGACUACAGUGCUUCUGUUGACCCAGUUCACACUGAGUUUGCACUGUUUUAAGAGAUGAUUUGAAACUCUGCUAAUAUAGUUGUGUUUUUGAGAAACACGUAAUACACAACUGAGCACCUGUUUGCUUAUUAGCUGCCAAGACAUCUGUACUGCCAUUGUACAGUGGAAGUCCUGCAGACAGGCCCUUUGGAGAAAUGUGGGUGAAGCGUUUCUUUGAAAGCCGCGUUUCCAGCUAAUGGACAGAUGUGUGCUUAGUGUUCCAGAGCUGCUGCUCUGACAUCAGUGAAUGGCCUAAGUCGGUUGGCAAACUCAGCGAAUGGUUUUAGGAUGAACUUCUUCAACAUGAAGUAUGCUGGCUCUUCCUGCAAUCAUUCACUAAUUGGGCUUGUGCUCACGUAGUACUUUGACCUGUGACAUCCCCACUAAAAUAAGCAAAUAAGUCAAGGUAGUAUUUUUAUGUGAGUCACAGGUUCUUUAAUGCCUUUUUUAUAACUAUCAGCGUUCAGUGAAUUUUCUGAUCCUCAGCCAUGUGGAAGUAUCCUGAGGACUAUUCUCCAGUGCAGGCUUUAUUUUCUUCUGCCUCAAGUGGAGACUGCUUGCUUUUAUGGUUUGAAGAAUACUUUGGAAGUAGUUGCUGAAUUUUCCCUGCUGUGAGCUGAUGAGGAAAGACCAGUCCCCUGGAACUGUCUGCAUCCUUUCUUGGGGCCAGAUAACCUUUGGACUCUAGAAACUCUUGCAAUAUUUUCUUUUUAGCUUUGUACAGAGACCUUUCACAUGACUCAGACAGCUGGCUACAAAUUUGGCAUCCCUGGGGCAUUCCUGAGUUUUCAUAGCUGAGGAUAAGGUAGAUAUAUCUUACUUUUAUGUUUACUAAGCUUUCAGCAACUCCAGAAUAGCAAAGGUCUUCCUCACUGUUAGUAUUAUCACUGUACUCUGAGGUUUUCUGUGUUCAUACUUGGUCUAUACAGAAACAUUUCUUUUGAUGCAAGAAUUGUGUGAUGUCAAACCACUUUUCUAAUGUAAUUACUAAUUAAAGAGUAUCCCUACUCCACAAGACAGGUGCAUGUUUGAGAUUUUAGCAGAUGUUGAAAUGCAGGUUAUUAGACUGCAGCUUGCUGCUUUGGCUCUUACUCUGGCAUUGUUACUCAUUCCAACUAGUUUGCUUCAUUAAUGCUUCCGUUAACUUCUGGUACCCAAUAUGAAGAUGGAAGGUUUUGCACUUUAACAAAUAUGAUCUUUACAUUACAUACUUUUAGAACUCAUACAAGGGUACCUUUUAAUGCUAUAAAUUGUUUCAUUAUUUGAAGCUGUUAAAAUUUUAGUCUUAGAUCUGCUAAUGCACUUGUAUAUCUUAUCUGGAAUGCAUCUGAUGGUUUGGUUUUCAUGUAGAAGAGCCAGAAUAAUAGGAAAAUACUUCAAGCAAAUAUAUAUUUCUCAGAGUAGGUAGGGAACAAGUUAACUGUUUUGAAAAUCUAUUUGAAUCUUCCUCAUAAUUACCUUUUCCUUCCUUCUGCAUUUACAAUCUCUGUCAUAUCCUUAAGUCCUUUUUUUACUCCCCACAGGUACCCGUGUUCUCCAGAGCAACCUGAAAUAGCUGUUGCUACGCUGACUGGAAGGAGCCGACAGCAUGGAUGGACAGAAAGGUCAGGAAACAUUUCAGUUCUGAUUCUCUCUUCUCAGCUGCAAAGAGUUGAUGCUACCUGGUACUGGUGUGGUGUCUGGUCUAAAUGUGCUGGUAAGACCUCAGGCUGAAAAGUUGGAAGUUCUUAGCGUUGUUGUAACCUUGUUCCUAAGUGAUGGACUUCUGAGUGUGAUGCUGUUCUGGAAUGCUGUACAGUUUAGCAGAUAUUGUCCAAUUAAGAAAAAUGAGCAGGGUAUGCCACAGGAUGCAAAGCUAACUGGAUGUUCUACGAUACCAAGGGCACAAAUACUGAAAAGAAACCAUUCCCUCUGAUAGAUGUAACCAAAGCCUGUAUGCCGUGAGUUUCUAGAACAUAUAUAUACGUUGUUAGAGAUCUGUGUGUAUGAAGUUGUAUGCAUGUACUGGAAGAGUUAGGAGCAGUUUAUCAGCACUUUAAUGAAACAGAUUUCUGCACCUUUUAUGUCCACACUAGUAAGCGUGCAUUAGUUGAAGAGUAUCAACCAGCCUGAGGUUAGAAAUGAAGACCAUUUCUGAGACUGUUCCCAGCACAGCACAUUGAAUGCCUAUAAAAUCUGCCUACAGAGUAAGCAACGGAACCAUGAAAAGUAAAUAUUGCUCUAAUAUCUUUUCAUAUAAUCACUUUAAUCAUAACUGUAAUUUUAUGGCAGAUUGUGAUAACUUAAAAAUCCUUACACUGAAUAAUAUCUUCUGCAAAUCUCAGUAAUUCUGUAAAAUGAUUACUCCAACCUUAAGAACUGAAUGGGUUCAAAGUUCCUGGUUCCUGACUUUAAGACAUAGUCUCUUGGAUACGUAUUCUGUUUGUCAUUCUAAUCUGAACAUUAUUUAAGAUGAGAAGCAUGGCUUACUAAAAGAUUAUGAACAACAUAUGGCAAACAAACAAAGAUGUGACAGUUUUUACUCCUUUUUGAUCCAUUUUCUUUUCUCCCCGGAGUAACUUCCUCCCUUUUUUCUCUUAAUUUAGGCUGAGUUUAUAAUAGUUCCUUCAAUCAUUGUCAUGAAAAUGUCUGAGAACAAGUGGAGUUGUAUGUACAACAUAUACAGCUCACUGUUCUUGUAGUCAUGGGCUUCAUUUCUUGUGUCUGAAUCAUUAAGGCUGUGAUAGAAAUGCUGCUGUGGCAAGCAUCCUGACUGCAGAUCUUUAAUGGGCUCUCCCCUCUGUGCUCUUGAUACAGGUAGAUUCAGUUCUCAACUUAUAUAGUUAUUGUUUUAUUUGGAUGUUUUAUUAUUUUUCUUUUGCUCAACAAUUAAGAAGUUAGGGGUCAGAAAACUUUGCAGAGUUCAGCAGCAAAUAGUUACAGCAAAAACAUCUCUGUGUUGCAGGAAAUUCAGUUAACUGCCAGUAUAAUAGGGAAGUUUGGACCUAAUAUAAGUUUCUCAUCUUGUGUUUGAUUAUUUGUUUGUUUUUUGAGGUGAAAGGUGUUUUAUUCAUUUCAGAGCUAACUUGUAGGUUGAGAGGGUGUGGCUGAUACCACAUUUCUGGCUUCUGAUUUCUGUGUCAGACCUGACUGCAACAAACAACAAAAUUGCCUGAAGUGACAUCUGACAAAUGUAUAGGGGGAAAUUUCUGUCCACAAGAGAGCUGUGCAUAAGGAUUGGGUGUACUGAGGAGUCCAACUGCCUAGUGUCCAUAAAGAAGAGCCUAAAGGUAGUUGUAGAUGAUGUGGAGUACAGGAGUCCCCAGUGUAUCAGUAGUGAUAAGUACCAAAUGAGUCCUAAAGAUACUUUCUUCCUCCUUGCUAUCUGUUAUGUGUAUCCUGCUUACAACUUAGCCUUCAUGGUUAACUACACGUAUACAUACAAAAUAAUAGCCCAGUGAGAAAGUUAAUAUUCCAAUAUGCACUUAAGUAGGGAGUGAACAUAGAUGGGCAGAGAUAAGGUUACUGUGUUACUUGAGGUAAUAAAAUAAUUAUGUAAAUGAGUGCAGAAUGGUAACAGGCAUUCUUCAACUCUGAGUACAAGGCAGAGAGAGGCUGAAAGGGAAGGAGUAAAAUUUGUGCUAUUCCUAUGGAGUUAAACAACUGUUAGGAUAAACAGUAAAAUAGAGAAGAGUAAAACCGAAAUCGGCUUAUUGCAGACUAAGAUGAAGACGGGUACAAAUUUCUCACCAUAACAGCUUGCUUACUUAAAGCCAGAUAAAUUAGAGGUGCUUGGGGAAACAGAUAAACCAUGCUUUCUUGCUCAAAGUACAACAUUAAAAAUCAUCUUUCUUAAAUAAUACAAUGUGAAAUUGUU